GACGAACGCUGGCGGCGUGCUUAACACAUGCAAGUCGAACGGAAAGGCCCGGCGUUUGUGGGGUUCUCGAGUGGCGAACGGGGGAGUAACACGUGAGUAACCUGUCCUUGACUUUGGGAUAACUUCAGGAGACUGGGGAUAAUACCGGAGAGGAGCUCCUGCUGCAUGGGGGGGGUUGGAAAGUUUCGGCGGUUGGGGAUGGACUCGCGGCUUAUCAGCUUGUUGGUGGGGUAGUGGCUUACCAAGGCUUUGACGGGUAGCCGGCCUGAGAGGGUGACCGGCCACAUUGGGACUGAGAGACGGACCAGAAUCCUACGGGAGGCAGCAGUGGGGAAUAUUGCACAAUGGGCGGAAGCCUGAUGCAGCAAUGCCGCGUGCGGGAUGACGGCCUUCGGGUUGUAAACCGCUUUCGACUGUGACGAAGCGUGAGUGACGGUAAUGGGUAAAGAAGCACCGGCUAACUACGUG
rnacentral:rRNA from 1 species